UACGGGGGGAGCAAGCGUUGUUCGGAUUUACUGGGCGUAAAGGGCGCGUAGGCGGCGUGACAAGUCACUUGUGAAAUCUCCGGGCUUAACUCGGAACGGUCAAGUGAUACUGUCGUGCUAGAGUACAGAAGGGGCAACUGGAAUUCUCGGUGUAGCGGUGAAAUGCGUAGAUAUUGGGAAGAACACCGGUGGCGAAAGCGCGCGACUGGACCUGAACUGACACUGAGGGACGAAAGCUAGGGGAGCGAAAGGG
rnacentral:rRNA from 1 species